AAUGAACGCUGGCGGUAUGCUUAACACAUGCAAGUCGAACGGGUGUAGCAAUACAUCAGUGGCAAACGGGUGAGUAAUACAAAGGAACUUUCCUAGCAGUAAGGGAUAACUCAGAGAAAUCUGUGCUAAUACCAUAUAUUACCCUUCGGGGGAAAGAUUUAUCGCCGUUAGAUGGGCCUUUGUCGGAUUAGCUAGUUGGUAGGGUAAUGGCCUACCAAGGCGAUGAUCCGUAGCUGGUCUGAGAGGAUGAUCAGCCACACUGGAACUGAGACACGGUCCAGACUCCUACGGGAGGCAGCAGUGGGGAAUAUUGGACAAUGGGCGCAAGCUUGAUCCAGCAAUACCGCGUGAAUGAUGAAGGUCUUCGGAUUGUAAAGUUCUUUUAGUAGGGAAGAUAAUGACGGUACCUACAGAAAAAGCACCGGCUAACUUCGUGCCAGCCGCCGCAGUAA
rnacentral:rRNA from 1 species